UGGGCGUAAGCGCGCGCAGGCGGUUUCUUAAGUCUGAUGUGAAAGCCCACGGCUCAACCGUGGAGGGUCAUUGGAAACUGGGGAACUUGAGUGCAGAAGAGAAAAGCGGAAUUCCACGUGUAGCGGUGAAAUGCGUAGAGAUGUGGAGGAACACCAGUGGCGAAGGCGGCUUUUUGGUCUGUAACUGACGCUGAGGCGCGAAAGCGUGGGGAGCAAACAGGAUUAGAUACCCUGGUAGUCCACGCCGUAAACGAUGAGUGCUAAGUGUUAGAGGGUUUCCGCCCUUUAGUGCUGCAGCUAACGCAUUAAGCACUCCGCCUGGGGAGUACGGUCGCAAGACUGAUACUCAAAGGAAUUGACGGGGGCCCGCACAAGCGGUGGAGCAUGUGGUUU
rnacentral:rRNA from 2 species